CAAGAAUUAGUUUAGAAAAAAUAUUAAUUUUGGAGAUUAAAGAAGAGUUAUUCUUAUUCUUGA
rnacentral:tRNA from 1 species